rnacentral:rRNA from 1 species
UUUGUAGGUGGCUUGUUAAGUCAGACGUGAAAUCCCUCAGCUUAACUGGGGAACUGCGUCUGAUACUGGCGAGCUUGAGUGCAGGAGAGGAACGCGGAAUUCCAGGUGUAGCGGUGAAAUGCGUAGAUAUCUGGAGGAACACCGGUGGCGAAGGCGGCGUUCUGGACUGCAACUGACACUGAUAAACGAAAGCCAGGUAGCAAACG